AGAGUUUGAUCCUGGCACAGAACGAACGCUGGCGGCGUGGAUAAGACAUGCAAGUCGAGCGACUAUUCCGGGGUAGCAAUAUUCCGGGGUGGGAGCGGCGCAAGGGUGCGUAACACGUGGGUAAUCUGCCAUGAAGUUUGGGAUAACUCGCUGAAAGGCGAGCUAAUACCGAAUGUGGCCGCCUGGGGGCAUCUCCGGGUGGCUAAAGUUGGGGACCGUAAGGCCUGACGCUUCUUGAUGAGCCCGCGGCCUAUCAGCUAGUUGGUGAGGUAACGGCCCACCAAGGCGAAGACGGGUAGCUGGUCUGAGAGGACGAUCAGCCACACCGGAACUGAGACACGGUCCGGACUCCUACGGGAGGCAGCAGUGGGAUAUUGGACAAUGGGGGAAACCCUGAUCCAGCAUGCGCGUGGGUGAAGA
rnacentral:rRNA from 1 species